rnacentral:rRNA from 1 species
UACGGGGGGUGCGAGCGUUGUCCGGAAUCACUGGGCGUAAAGGGCGCGUAGGUGGCGUGAUAAGGGUGUGGUGAAAGCCCGGGGCUCAACCCCGGGUCGGCCAUGCCGACUGUCGGGCUAGAGUGCGGAAGAGGCGAGUGGAAUUCCUGGUGUAGCGGUGAAAUGCGCAGAUAUCAGGAGGAACACCUAUUGAGAAGGCAGCUCGCUGGGACGUAACUGACGCUGAGACGCGAAAGCGUGGGGAGCAAACAGG